UGGGAGAUAGUUUAACGGUAGAACGCCCGGCUCUGGACCGCGUAGUCCUGGUUCGAAUCCAGGUCUCCCAGCCA
rnacentral:tRNA from 1 species